rnacentral:lncRNA from 1 species
UUUAUAUCACCCCGAUUGAUGGGAUAAUAGAUACGAAGAUUGUCAAGAGCUUCAACAACUGGAUUUCUGCCGACCUAUUAAAAGCUACUGUUAAGAGGUAGUUCUUUUGAAUUGCUUCAAAUUAUUUUUUUGUAUCAAUACAUAUUUCAUGGUUUACCAUCUCCUUAAAAUACCUAGGAAAGAAAAAGUGGAUCAUUACAAAAGGGAAAAAUCAGAAAUUUCAAAGAUGCAUUUUGGUGUUGAAACUGUUGAAGACAAAAAUUGGUUCUAUACGAUGGGAUUUGCAGAUCAGACAUGGACAA